rnacentral:rRNA from 1 species
GUCCUCUUGUUUAUAUAUGAGGUCUGACCUGCCCGGUGAAAAUUAAUUUUAACGGCCGCAGUAUUUUGACUGUGCAAAGGUAGCAUAAUCAUUAGUCUUUUAAUAGGGGGCUGGUAUGAAGGGUUUGACGAGGUGUUAACUGUCUCAUUUAAUUUGAAUUUAGAAUUUAACUUUUCAGUCAAAAGGCUGAAAUUAUAUUGGAAGACGAGAAGACCCUAUAGAGCUUUAUAAUUAAAUUUUUAAUUAUUUUUUGUUUAUCAUUUUUUAUUAUUACUUUAAUUAUUUUGUUGGGGUGACAAAAACAUAUGAUUAACUUUUUUAUUUAUUUAACAUUGAUUUAUGAAUAUUAGAUCCAUUAUUAUUGAUUGUUAGAUUAAGUUACCUUAGGGAUAACAGCGUAAUCUUCCUUCAGAGUUCAUAUUUACGGGAAGGCUUGCGACCUCGAUGUUGGAUUAAGAUAAUAGUUAGGUGUAGCCGCUUAAUGCAUAGGUCUGUUCGACCUUUAAAUUCUU